rnacentral:tRNA from 1 species
AUAGGUAUAGCUCAGUGGUAGAGUGUGUGCUUAGCAUGCACAAGGUCCUGGGUUCAAUCCCCAGGACCUCCA